UCUGAGACACUGACUGUGGGGGUAUGUGUGUGUCCAUCUGUCUGUGUCUCUGAGCAG
ensembl:miRNA MIR7135 microRNA mir-7135